UACGGAGGGUCCAAGCGUUAUCCGGAAUCAUUGGGUUUAAAGGGUCCGUAGGCGGUUUUGUAAGUCAGUGGUGAAAGCCCAUCGCUCAACGGUGGAACGGCCAUUGAUACUGCAAGACUUGAAUUAUUGUGAAGUAACUAGAAUAUGUAGUGUAGCGGUGAAAUGCUUAGAGAUUACAUGGAAUACCAAUUGCGAAGGCAGGUUACUAACAAUAUAUUGACGCUGAUGGACGAAAGCGUGGGGAGCGAACAGG
rnacentral:rRNA from 1 species